AGAAGUGUGGCUGUUUCCCCUUGCCUGCCAAGCCACCCGGUUGGUUUAAGAAAGAGCGAAUGGCCAAUUGCUAGGCAGAGAAAGGAUAGGCAGGGCUGGCAGGCAGAGAGAAUAAGCAGGAGGAGAGACCUAGAAGAGAGGAGAGAACACAGGAGAAAGAGAGGGACACACCUGGGGCCAGAAGCCAGGCAGCUGCUGGCCAGCCAGACAUGGAGAGGACAGGAAAGUGAGAUAGUCAGAAAGAAGAAAGAAAAAGGUAAAAAGCCCCAAGGCAGAGUUAAGCUAGGCCCAGCAUUCAUAACUAAUGACGGGUCUCUGUGUCAUGAUUUUGGAGCUGGUUGGUGGCCCAGAAGAAAGCCUGGUACACACCAUGGUGAGGUUGUCUUGGAACUUGACUGAUGAAGAAUGUUCCAGGAUGCUUUGCUAGCCCACGGUGGUUUAUGGGGCAGUUUCCUGGAUCAUGGCCUCAUCUUCUCUCAGCAAAUCCCGUGAAACACUUCUGUCAGCUGGAUGUGGGGAAAGAGCUGACACACAAACCCCAGCUCAUGAGUAGCACAUUCCUGAGUGUGAGCAGUCCACCAUGACCAGGAAGCCUCGUUAGCUGGUGGUCAGCUGAGAGAAGAGGUCAUCCUGUGGGCAGGGGCAGCCCUCAGUGGAGUGGGGCAUGAAGGAGCCAGGACUGCCUCUGGAAGCCCCCCCUCGUCUGCCCCGGUGACUGAUUCCUUUGCCAGGGCCCACCCUCCCUCUCCUACCACUGACCAGUAGCGACAGGCUGGAUGUCCCUGAGACAUUCCGGAACAGGACACAGCUGAGGUUUGACCCAGGCUGCAUGGGUCUGUGCACACUGGUGAACUGUGACCCGCCUGCCCUCGAGUGACCAUCCUGUCCUCAAGCUCUGGAGAAAGAGCCCCAGGCUCUCAGCCCAAGCUUCUUCCGGUCACUGAGACCUUGACCUCCUUGGAGCCUCUGUAGAGCUGCAGGGUAUCUAGGAAGUGAGUUAAGCCCUCAUUUCCCACUCUAAGGUUGAGCCCACCCCUUUUUAUCCAGCCUUCCCAGAUCAGUACUGGCUUUUUUUUUUUUCUUUUCUUUCUCCCUCAUCUGUGUAGCAUUUCCUGGUUUUCCCAAGCAGAGUGAGUCACUUCCUUCUCUGAGUUCCCAUAAUACCCAAAAGCUACCCUAUCUCUAAGAGUGGAUUUUGCUUUAUGAACACUGAUUUUUUUCUCUCUCUCUCUUAUGGACAUAGAAGAUGUUACGGAUGCUUCCUGUCCUCGCUUUUGCUUUGGUUUCUGGGAAGCCCAGAGUUCAGUGUGUAGUUGUCCUUGGUUGAGCGACUCCCCUGGGACUUUUGAAUUAACUUUGGCCGUUUCCCUCUUCAAUCAAGCCUUUCUUUUCCUAGUUCCAAUUUUCAUGGUAUAUUUGUAUUGAUUUAACGACUUGACUCAGCUCAAAUUAAGUUAAUUGCUUGCAUAAAUAAUAAAUUCCAUUUUAAUUGAAGGUCUUAAUUUAUA
rnacentral:lncRNA from 1 species